GCCCUUAUAAGUAAUGGUAUACUGACGCUUUGGUAGGGCGUAAUUGAAAGUUCGAUUCUUUCUGAGGGCACCA
rnacentral:tRNA from 1 species